rnacentral:tRNA from 1 species
UCCUUGGUGUCUCAGUUGGUAAAGAAUCUGCCUGCAAUGCAGGAGACCCAGGUCUGAUUCCUGGAUCAGGAA